UAUAAAUAACACUAGAGGAGGCAUCGAGUUUAAAAAUUGGGAACGCAGCUAAUGGGGGGCAAAUUCAAGUCCCGGAUGUAAAAUCGUGCUCUCAUUGGCUGAUUUGAAACUCGUCACCAAUGGGAACACGAAUACACAUCCGGGACUUGAAUUUGCCCCCCAAUAGUCGCGUUCCCUUUUUUUGACUGAAGUGAGAUUACAAUGCCUCCUCUAGUGUUAUUCUCAAAUUCUCAAAAACGACAUGUUUAGCAAUAAUACAGCUAAGCAUUUUAGUCAAAGAGCAAAUAAAUAUAACUACGCCAUUCUACGAUGAAAUCUCUAAGUAUUCCCGGUCAAUUUUAGCAAAUAUUUCAGGCACUAAACAGUGAAAAAUGCAUCGCAAAUUCCGUUAAAAUUGGCGACGCCAAUUUCGUAGCUACAAAUGUAAAAAAUACAAAACAAAGACGAAAAACGUUUACCUUGAAUACUUUGUCGUGGUUUAGGCAUGUUUUUAAAACAAUUAGACCGGUUUAUGCUUCAAUAUUACUCUUUUAAAGCGGAAAAUAUAGCGAAACAACGAAAAUGCUGAGAAGUUUGGCAAUGCGCGUGACGUCACAGAUUGCAACUAGGUUUAGACUGUGACGUCAGGAAGUUUCCUAUAUCCAGUUAUUUUACAAUCCAUGCUUCUACAAAUCUUUUGAUCGAAAGGAAUGAAAUGUAACCAUCUUCAAUUGAUGUAGAUAGGCAUAUCACGUCACGCAAUAUUUUUAUCUAGACAACCACUGAUCAUUUUGCAUUCGAAACUAUACUCAGUCUGCCCUUCGAUCACUCAAAACCUUUAAAACAUCUACCAAUCAAUAUUUGGUCAGCAACGAAUACUUUUAUAUGGUUAAUCUCUGUUGUGACGUCACCAAAACUACCGUUAAUGAGAUGAAACAUUUAUCCAAGAUGGCGGACAUCUCAUUACUUCAAGUGAAAAUAUUUCAAGAACUAAGCAAGAUAUGAAAAGAAGUUGAUAUGUAGUUUCAAAAGUUCUUUCAAAUGAGAAAAUAAAAAAUUAUAAUGCCAUUUCCCUUUAAUUAAUUUAAUAAAAGACAAAAGGAAAUUAAAAAAAAACUUAUUCGAAAUUUUCGUAGAUUAUUGGCGACUAUUCGCACUAUUCUCCUUUUAUCAACUGCCGUUUUAGCUAUAUCGUGAAGAAUUCCAAGUUUCUAAGAUUACAUGUAUUAAACAGAAUAGCCCAAUAUAUUAUGAUGUCUACAAUAAAUUAAUUAUUAUUCACAUUU